CUUUACCUUCGGAUCCACCUGCGGGAGCUGCUAUAUUUGAGCUGCGGGGACCUGCUGAGGCAGCAGCGCAGACUGCUCUGUCCAAUUCAGCCUUAACAAACACGGAGAAGGAGCCCAAAAUGAAUUCCUCCAUCGACAGAUGUGCAUCUCCAUGUGCCGAUAAAGGGACGGAGCCGAUGGAGGGAUUGACAGAAUGAUGGUGGAAGAGAAGGAGGGGAACAAGAAGAGAGGUGACAUCAUGUGCUCAGCCUGCUCCCACUCAAGUCGUACGCCAAGCAGACAAAGGAGUCACAUCGAAACCAAGUCAGGCACAGGAUAGCCAGCUCCCACUAAUCUGAUGUGGUUACAGAUCUUUCUGAAGUUUGCAAAUUUCUAAAGGCAACUACAGCCACCUCACUGCCUCCCUUUUAAGAACUCUAUCAGUUGUAGUCCCUGCAACAAGACAGUACGGCUAUGUCCCAGCCUCUUAUUAUUUGCUAUUUGGCACGCUGAGAAAUUCACAAUCAGCCUUUAAUUCAUCUUUUGUCAUCUUCUCCAAAUUUCUUCUCCAAAUUUACAUCAAAUUGCACCCAGGUUUACUUAAAGUCUCCCAUAAAAGAUUUGUGAAGUGUAACAGAACUCUCUAUCUCUGUAGAGUUUCAUGAGAUAUCAUCCAUAUCCAGGUUGUAUAAAAAUACAUACUUGAUAUGUAAAAAGUGAAUAAAACAGGAUUAAAUGGACAAGGUUUGGAGUCAUUUAAUAUUUAAUUGAUUUUGUUGUAUACUGUGUGUUUAACCAUAAAAAUGAUCCCAUUUAAUUUAUUGUAUAGGCACGUUUGUUCUGUUUGUGU